rnacentral:lncRNA from 1 species
AGUUUUACGUAAACAAGCACAUCCUGUGCUCCUGCAUUUCCACUGCGGGAAGAGUUGCUCAGUUACGGAAACAACAAUGUAGCAGGGAGUUAUCAAAGCACCAUCAUAAUUAUGAGAACUGGUAAAACACUUCCAGGGAUUCCCAUGGCACUCCUGGAACAGACUCUUCCUUCUCGAUGCUAAUUUAUGCCGGCUCCCUCUAAUGGAGCACAUCGAUGAAGUCGGAUUUCCUUCCCCAGAUAUUGCAUGAAGCUCUGUUUAACUACAUUGAAGGCCUGCCUGCCACCAGCCCAGCAAGGAAGGUGAGAUCUGGGAAGGCCUAUCCAAGAUCUGCUAUACCUCCAGCCUGCUUGGGACCAUUCAUCAGGACCAGGUGGCCCUACCCUCCCUGCCAGAACCAACACAAACUCCAGCAAGGAAGCAGGAACAUUACUGCAUCCUUUCCUGUGGUCAACUGAUAAAUCCCGGGCCCAUAUUUCUCUAAGGACACUGAGAUCUGCCGGUACACAGGAGAGAGACUUUGAAAGCUGUGUAGAGGAUCCUGAACCAUCAACUGCCCCAUUUGAAUUACAACCAGCCCUCAGGAAUGAACUGGUCAUAAGUCAAGGGUCUACUAUACACGAAUCUGUUCACAUCUUCUGCUGGUUAGUGACUCUUUUUAGAUUUUUAAAUUUUACAUGAUUCUCCCUCAUUAGAAGAAUAU